UCUUCGCUAGUAUAUCGGUUAGUACACGCGCCUGUCAUGGAUGUAAGUUCGCGCGAAAGCUGGGUUCGACUCCCAGGCGAAGAG